CCCAGAACUUGCAUAUACUCAGUUAGUCUAAAGAACUUACCAUAUACACACGGACAUUGACUAGUUUUUUCUUUCCCCCACUCCAAACCCACAUUAAAGUUUAAUGUGUUUGCAAUAAUCAUCCAGUAACUAAUCGCAAACACAUUAAAGUUUCCUGACUCUGCAAACAUCAGUAACUAAUCUCAGCUCAACGUUCUAGUGAUGAUCCUAUUUCCUUUCGUUUCUGUGGAACAUGGCAGAUGAGUUCUCAAGUAAGUGAUACCGCACAUCUACACUGGCUAGGUCCAAAUAAGGCGUUUUUUUUUCAUGACAUCUACUCCACAAGGACCAAAAGGAAGAAAAACAGUGCCGCGUGAGGGUGACCGGCGGAGCCGCGGAGGCACCGGCGCAACGGCGAGGGGAGGGGAGUGCACGGCGCGAGUGCAGAAGCGGAGGCACGGGAAGCGAACUUCAGUGGCCCCGCACGGACGAUGGCUCCGAUGGCGGCUUCUCAUCUCCCCGGAUGAGGCUGGGUCUCGAGCCACCCGCAGUCCGCAGAACGGAAGAAGCCCAUUAGAUGCUCGACGAAAUGGCUGCCCCGCAGGAGCCUGGAGGCACAGGAGGAUUGCUUGAUAAGAAGGCAAGGAACUGCCUCCUGUAAUUAAGAAGCAACCAAAAGAUUUCAAUUGUGGACGACAUAACCCCACAUUCAUGGAACUAUUAUUAAGGAUGAUCGUAGGAGAAAACAUUGCUGAGAAUUUGUUUAGCAAACUAUUGAUGUCAUAUGAUUUGUUUUAGAAGUGAUAUGUAAUGAUUCAGUUGAUGAGAAUAAUUCCUAAUGAAGAAAUAUGCUACUGAGGCCGAACAAACUCCACCUUUCGGCCGCAGUACGCAGAUCCAACUUGUCAUAUCAUCAACCAUUUGUCAAGGAGCUCCAUUUGCUUCCAUUUGAUCAAAGAAUACUUUCCCAUCUCUAGUUGUUUAUUUAAGUAAUGCUAUCGCAAAUCUGGACAGAUGUGUUCCGGUAUUGUGAAUUUGAUUUGAGCAAACCUUACUGAACUUAUACUUUAAUAAAUGAUGCAUCCACUCUUCCGUCACCUUAGCAUCACAGAGGAUACAUUGCACUGAUUCUACAUUGAAAGUUUCCUGAAUAACACACCUCUGGUAUUGAUUUCUAUCUUGUAUUUGUGCCCAUUAUAUACUCUUUCCAGACUGGCAAUAUAUGCCAGAUAAAGUCAAAUAGGCCAAUUAUGUUAUAAUUACUUCUGCGAAAUGAAAGAACUGGAACCCACGUGGAUCGUUUCCAAGAAAUUGUGAUACUUAACACCUGCUUAUAAAAAGCAGUUUUGGCGCAGAAAACAUUGUAACAUGUUUUCUGCAUAACCAUUAAUUUUUUGAGAUGGGAAACAGAGCAAUGUAUGGAAAGAAAAGGAAAAAAAAAUCACAUUAUAUUACACGGGAAGGCAACACAAUGCAUCUGAUGAGCUGAUGAUAGUGUUUUGUGUUUCACCCAUUACAACAUUUCAUACUCUACCUUAACUGACAGUGAACACCAGUCAGGCAGUCACCACUUUAUUCCACACAAAUGAAAGUAGUUAAACACUAUAUUUUGAACUAUAAUAGCUUGUAAAUAGGCAUUGCCGAGUUUCUGCAGAUCAGAACAAUAUUGGCUCCACGUACAGUAAUGCUACCAUAUCUUUGAUUGUAUGGGAAAAAGUGAAUCCGUCAGUUUUCUUGUACAUGUAUUCCCCAGUCCUUGCAAAAUCAACAACUGUCUGUGCCACAACCUUCAUCUGUUCCGUUGGUGUAAGGUAGAGUUUCACCAUAUCCUUCCAUGAAUCUUCAAUUAGUUCUUUUAUCUUCUCACAUGCAUCGUGCAUUGUUGUUUCGUGCUGCAACAUAUAACAUUGGAUGGUAGAAGCAUGGUGCCCCCUGGUUUGCUCACGCUGCAUUUAGUAGCAAAAUAAAAUAAAUAGAUUGAUUCAAUGUGUAUUGCAAUCAUUUGUUCAUUAGUUUGGUGCUUGUCUACCUAAAGUUGCUUAAGUAUUCACUUAUAUCAUGUGAUAUUUGGUGAUGAAGUUCAAUUCCACAAAAUAAUGUAGAAGUGCUAAGGUGCAUGAAUACACAUAGAGAUUCACAUGUGUGAAGCUAGACAAUGACCUCUGUUGAUGCAAUAUCAUUGGAGAGUCGUGCAAAUGUUGGGAAACAAUUGAGAAGUUCUGGAAAUGCCAGAAGCCAAUCCAGAACUUCCUUUGUUAUGAUGUCACCCAUCCCAACAAAUGAAGAACAUACUAGUUGAAAAGCUCCAAUGGUUACUCCUGAAAUUUUUAGAUGUUCAUUGAUUGUUUCUGGAACAUAAUGUUCAUCACGCCAUUGUAUCUCUUGAGAGUAUCCUCGGACCAAUAUCUUUAUCUGCAUGGAACAUAUAAAUAUGUGAGUUCAUAUCAGAUAGUAAUAGUAGUGUGAACCCAUAAUGAUGUCUUGGAGAAAGGUUUGCAAUGAUCAUGUAGCUUGUUGGGCUUUGCAAUGAUUUUCAGUUCAAGUAGCUUGUUGGGCUUGUGCAUGCCUGGUACCUAUGCUCAGAAUUCUCCACAAAAAACUAGGGAGUCUUUGUAAAGAAAUUUUUCAUCGUAGUAAAUCUGUACAAUAAAUAUGAAGUAAUUAUGGAUAUGUGUUUGGGAAAAUAUGUAACUAUCUUCUGCUGUAGUGAAACUAAAUAUUACUUUGAAACAGUAGAACCAAACAAUAUGAUUGAUAUAAUAUUCUUAUUUUCUUUUCUUUAGUGGUUGACCCUCUAAGAUAAUAAUACAUAUGUACUUCUAGUAAAUCAUGUGUUUGCUAAGUAACUAGAACUAGCUGUCUAGUCAAUACUUGCCAUUUCCUUGAGAUAAAACACCCGAUAUCUUUUGUUUGGUCCCAGUUCAUCCUCACAAGAGUCCAAUGUCUUCAAUAAAAACAGGUAGAAAUCCUUCAUGUAGUCCGGAAGUAGUUCUGUUGCGUCUUCAUUGAAUCUACAUGUACAAUCCAUUGGGAACAUUUGAAGCAGUUCCAUUGCAUCUUUUAUCAUAACAACACAAUCUUCUUUCUUAAAGAAAAGUUGCAAGAGAUAAGAUUAUAAAUCAUCCCAAAUUAUUUGAUAUGGUUUCCUAACUAUACUAAUCGAAAAUAGGCCAUCUAAUGUGAUGCAAUCUCAUGGUAUACAUAGUCCACAGUGGAACUUAUGCUAGCAGCAAUAGAUGCUGUGUGCAGCUGUUGAAAUGUUGCCCAUGGAGCCCUUACCAUGACAGAUGUUAUGCAUAUGCAAAAUGGCAAGUAAACACGAAUUUUACAGUAAAGGUGGAGUAAAAGAUAAAAAUUACACUAUCAAUAUGGACUAUUAGAUUGCCUGGGGGACUUGUAACUGUACCUGUAUAUUGCUUUAGCAAGCAGCAUGGCCUCCUCUGUUGUACUAUAGGUAUCAAUUAUAUCAUCUAAUAUGGUGAUAAAGGCUGUCAUCUUCGUUAGUAUAACUCGUGAAAGAGAAUAUUUGGGCUCAGAGCAUGCUCCUGCCAUCCAGAAAUGCGUUUCAACUAUUCUGUCUCGAAUAAAACUUAAAUUUGUUUCAACAUUAAGCUGCUUCCACCACCUGUAAUGAUAUAGUUGUAAAUAUGUGUUGUGUAAUUGACUUAGCUAGUGAAUACAACUUCAAAGUUCUGUACAAACUUACAGUGUGACCAUUUUCAACUCACAAUAAAGAAGUUGAAGGAGGUUGAAGUUCAAUUUUGCAAACUCUAAUAUGGCCAUAUUCUGUGAAGGCUCCAUUUCGUAAAUGGGGAUAUAGUUUCUUGUUUCCAGUAUUCUAACCCUUCGGAACAGAGGUGUUUGAAGGGACUGAGACUUCAUCUGCUAAUGUGGAAUCCAAAGAGUCUAAUACAGCUUCAAGGUGGCUUCUAGUGAAUAUAAUGGCUUCAUCCAGUACUUUCUCGCCAUGAGUCCUCAGGUAUGCUGCAUUAUAUAAGCUCAAAAGACCUCGAAUAUCAUCAAAAGCAAAACGUCCUUCCAUACCUUUGAAAUUUAGAAAUACAUCUGCAAAGUUGAUCGAAUCAACCAUAUUUAUGAUUAGAACCAAAAGUAUAUGCAUGAGUUACAACAUAUCAAUUAUUUUAUCAGAUAGGCUUGCAUUUGACCAUGUUCAACUUAAAAUCAAUAAUUUUGGGUCCCUUUAUGUUAUAUAUUCCGGAAUCAGUGCAUACUAUCUAGCUAACCAUAUCAACUACUUAUGUGUUUGUACACAUGUAUAGUCAUGGAGAUCUACAUGUUGUGAACCAUGAAAAAGGAAUUGAAGUCAUCAGACUAAGUUAACAGCUUCCCUUUUAUACCUUUUAAUGUGGUUUACUUUGAAUUAUACUGUUGUUCUUUCAAAUAUUUUUUGAACUAACAGCAAGGCCUUACCAGAUGGUACAUCAUAGCCAUUCUUUCUUAGAAGAUAAAAUCGCAGUGAGACUAAAUUCAGAUCAUUAACAUCAUAACCAGAAUUGUAAACAAAUCUCAAGUGCCGCUGUAGUGUGAGUAUAAGAUCCAAUAUUUUUGGUAGUUCAUUUGUGCCGUUUAUAAUUUUCCUGACUUCUUCCUUUAACACCUUAGCUCGCUCUUUCAUGUAUGCAUGCUGCAAGAGACAAGCAUCAGUCUAGGUUGUCAGCGCAUUUAAAAACAUGCUCCAUAUCUUCAGUGUGAUGCCAUCGUUACCUGAGGUGCAGUUGGCGGCUGGUAAGUCAGGAAGAAAUCACCCCACAGGCUCGGGUGAAAGGUAGGAGCCUUUGCCAGCCCCUCAUCACUGUUGGAAUGAAGUGCAGACAUCUUUUCGGUAUUUAUAGCGGAUUAGCGGCAUGCAUGAGUGUGACUGGUAGGUCGUCGAGUGUUCUGCCUUUGACAGGGUGCCGUGUCUGGAACAGAGGCAUAAGAGGAUCACAUUUGUUAAAGUAAACGAAAUCCAGUUAGUUACUUUGUUAUAUAUAAUAUAUGUAAGUUCCUAUCGACCUCUUGUA